CAUCAGACUUCCCGUUGGAUGUGCUUUGCCCUUGAUUUCCAGCUGGGAGAGCACCCUUCUGUGCAGGGGUAGAUGGCCUUGCAGAUCCAGUUUCCAGUUUGCCUCGUUCCUGCAACAUCCUUGAGAGCGUUUCUAACACUGCUCGGGGUCCUCUUCAAAUGACUCCGGAUUAUGGAAUCCUUGGCCUCAGUCCCCACCACCCCCUGGCACUGCCCCUACUGUCUGGGGCUUCAACUAUAUUUCUCCUCUAGCGGCCAUGAGGCAAGCCUGCCCAGGCAUUGAUUUUCUCCCUCUGUCCCUCGCCCUCAGUUGUCCUUAGUUGACUCACAAAAAGCUAUGUGUUAACUGCUUUUUCUUCAGAGCAAGUGAAAGCAAAAGAAAAUAAAAUGAGCCAUAAUCACCUCAGAAAAAAAUUAUCUCAGUGAAGCCACUGGAUACACAGUGGGAAGAACAGGAAGCAAAGUCCAAAGUCUGUUUCUGGGUCUGGACCAGCCAGAGCAGGAGGAGAGAGGUUGGCCUCCUCAAGGUGUGAGCUCUGAUUCCUUGAGAAGAUGCCCGUAAAAGAAAGUACUGCAUUCAUGCUCAGUUUGGGAGCAAGUGGUCUGAAAAUAUUGGCAUCAGGGACCAGUGCGCUUGUGCUAUCCGUGGGCGUGGUGGCAGUAGGACUCAUAGGAAUCGGCGUCUACUGCUACAAUAAGGCCAGCGAAAACAAGACCCAGAAAAUGCAUUGACAGGAAUCCUUUCCAAUCACCUGGCCAGAAGGAGAAGGCUCCACCUUCUUGGGGAAUGUGUGAAGCAACAUGCUAUACACAGUUUAUAUUUUGAUUAUGAACAAAGUCAACUUUUGAGCAAAAUAAAAAUUAAUUAAAUACACAUUGAUUGAGUGCA